rnacentral:lncRNA from 1 species
GGAGGGGUCCCGAUGCCCCGGUGAGGAGCUGCGAGCGGCUGGAGAUUGUUGGCGGUCGGCGAGGCAGAGGGAGGCCUAAGAAGCAUUGAGGAAAGGUGAUUAGGCAGGACAUGACUAGUAUGCAGGUUUCCGAGGAUAUGAUCGUUGAUAGGAGAGUCUGGAGGUCUAGGAUCAGGGUUGUAGGUUAGAGGCUCCUAAAGUUCUUCGUAGUUACUGUAUGAUAUUAUUGCAUGCGAUUGUAUUCAGGUUCCUUAUGUUUAGAUAAUUAUUUCCGUUAUUUCUGCUAUUUCUGCGGGUGAUACUAAUGCUCUAUUGUUAUUGUUUUUGUUUUGUUUUUGUUUUACAGCUGAUUUC